CAAGUCGAACGGCAGCACGGAGAGCUUGCUCUCUGGUGGCGAGUGGCGAACGGGUGAGUAAUAUAUCGGAACGUGUCCAAUAAUGGGGGAUAACGAGUCGAAAGAUUCGCUAAUACCGCAUACGCCCUACGGGGGAAAGCAGGGGAUCGUAAGACCUUGCGUUAAUGGAGCGGCCGAUAUCUGAUUAGCUUGUUGGUGAGGUAAAGGCUCACCAAGGCGACGAUCAGUAGCUGGUUUGAGAGAACGACCAGCCACACUGGAACUGAGACACGGUCCAGACUCCUACGGGAGGCAGCAGUGGGGAAUUUUGGACAAUGGGGGCAACCCUGAUCCAGCCAUUCCGCGUGAGUGAAGAAGGCCUUCGGGUUGUAAAGCUCUUUCGCAAGGGAAGAAAACUUAUGAUCGAAUAAAUCAUGAGGUUGACGGUACCUUGAUAAGAAGCACCGGCUAACUACGUGCCAGCAGCCGCGGUAAUACGUAGGGUGCGAGCGUUAAUCGGAAUUACUGGGCGUAAAGCGUGCGCAGGCGGUUUUGUAAGUCGGAUGUGAAAUCCCCGGGCUCAACCUGGGAACUGCGUUCGAAACUGCAAGGCUAGAGUGUGUCAGAGGGGGGUAGAAUUCCACGUGUAGCAGUGAAAUGCGUAGAGAUGUGGAGGAAUACCAAUGGCGAAGGCAGCCCCCUGGGAUAACACUGACGCUCAUGCACGAAAGCGUGGGGAGCAACAGGAUUAGAUACCCUGGUAGUCCACGCCCUAAACGAUGUCAACUAGUUGUUGGUAGAGUAAAAUCUAUGAGUAACGUAGCUAACGCGUGAAGUUGACCGCCUGGGGAGUACGGUCGCAAGAUUAAAACUCAAAGGAAUUGACGG
rnacentral:rRNA from 1 species